UACGUAGGGUGCAAGCGUUAAUCGGAAUUACUGGGCGUAAAGCGUGCGCAGGCGGUUUUGUAAGCCAGAUGUGAAAUCCCCGGGCUUAACCUGGGAAUGGCAUUUGGGACUGCAAGGCUGGAGUGCGGCAGAGGAGACUGGAAUUCCUGGUGUAGCAGUGAAAUGCGUAGAUAUCAGGAGGAAUACCGAUGGCGAAGGCAGGUCUCUGGGCUGACACUGACGCUCAUGCACGAAAGCGUGGGGAGCAAACAGG
rnacentral:rRNA from 1 species